AAGGAAGUGUGUCUGAGCAUAUGCAUGUGACUUUUCGUUCAUGAUUGAUCAGUCUUGUUAAAAUAUUGGAAUUUUGGACUGUUACAUUGAGGUCCAUGCUCUAGGGAAAUUGAAAAUUACAAAAGAAAGGAUUAGUCAAGAAAAACUAAAAUUUGGGCAUUAAUUCAUGAUGAAUAGUCCAAGCAAAGAACACUGCUUGGACAUGUGUAAGGGUAUUGAGGAAAAU
rnacentral:misc_RNA from 1 species